GUCCGGGAUCGACCGGGUCCCGGACGACCUGCUGGUCGGGCCGGGCUUCAAAACUAUAGUACAAGGAGUAAUUUAGUCGAAUGAAAUCAUUCUUCCUAAAAUCCUGGCACUAAGAUGGAAGGUAGACGAAGGAGCUGUUUUCAACAAGUCAAUGGUUGGGUUCUGAAAAGACAGAAGAUCCCCAAAUAUUCGCGAGAGCCAAGACUUUUCUAAACUAGCUGUCAAGAGCAGUGGAUGAAGCACCGCCUCUAGCACCACGACGAAAACCCAGUUCCCAUGCAAGUUCCAGACCUCCGCGCAUUACAACGCACCGCCUAUAAUUCUUAUUUUAUAUCUUCAAUACCCUAUCAAGUGUUGAGGAUCACACGCCCAUAUCAACGGUUUCCUUCUCCGAUCCUGUCUCUCUUUUUUUUCCCAUGGCCACCGAAGGCUCUUCCAAUCUUCUCCCUUUCAAUACUAUUGUUCAAAUGAUCACCCUCCACAAAUUAUCUUAUAUGGCAUGGUCAGAUUCUUCCCCUCAUUGAAAGCCAAUAUCUUAGUGGUCAUAUUGAUGGUUCCAUUGUCCUACCUUCAAAAUUUAACCCUGCUACUUUUCAGACACCAAAUGACAAAUACCUGGCGUGGAGGGCUGCCGACCAACGUCUCCUUUGUCUUCUUCUCUUCUCUCACUGAAGAAUCUUUUGCUGAAAUUGUUGGCCUCUCUACUACACGAGAGGUCUGGCUUGCCUUAGAGACUGCUUUCAAUCAUCGGUCCAAGGCCCCUGAGAUUCAUCUCAAAGAUGAACUCCAGUUAAUGAAAAGAGGUUCCAGACCCGUGACUAACUUUGCUCGUGCCUUCAAAAGCCUCUACGAUCAGUUUCAUGCCAUUGGUCGUCCAGUUGAUCGAUGACACGAACAAAGUGCACUGGUUCCUCUGUGGCCUCGGUGCGAUUUCUCCAGUUUCUCCUCUAACUAGAUUACACUCACUCACUUGCCCAUAUUUGCUGAUCUUGUUUCCAAAGCUGAAAGUUUUGAGAUUUUUCAGAGGUCCCUUAAGCCUACAGCACCUCCUUCUGCUGCCUUCACAGCCAUUCCCCGCGUGUCCAACAGCCCAAACCAGCGGAAUCCUUCCCGCUUUAACCCUGGCCAAUCCUCCUGCAAUGGCCGCACUAACUUCUCUCCUGGUCGUCUUCCUCGCUGUCAAAUCUAUCGAUCGUGAUGAAGGUCACUACGCUGAUCAGUCCCCCCAGCGCUACAACCGUGGUGACUCUGCUGCCCAUCUUGCUGAAGCAUUCACUGGGUCUUGUUCUCUCAAUGACCCUCCGACCUCUGAUUGGUUUUUAGACACUAGAGCUUAAGCUCACAUGUGUCUAAUGCUCCCUCUUUGGAUCUACCCAUGCCAUAUGUUGAAUCGUCAAACAAGAAGGAAGGGUGGUAGCAACCGGUAAGAUGGAAUGUGCUAGGGCGUGGCAACUUGGCCUUUAUUUCCGUUCUAAAAAAUAAACAAUAACAUGCUUCCUAUGAUUUAUGGCAUACUCGCAUUGGACAUGUAAUUAAUUAUGUUAUUUAUUCUUCAAAUAAAAAAAUGCAAUCUUUAUCUUUUACCUCUUUACAAGCUUCUCCUCAUUUAUGCUGCUCCUACUUGUGAAAAACCAUCGCUUGUCAUCUCCAUGUAAUGAACGUAGGUCCUUCUCCAUUGUUCAUUACGAUAUUUGGGGUUCCUCCCCCGUCAAAUCAAAUUCUGUCUCUACGUAUUAUGUUCUCGUCAUUGACAAUUAUUCUCGCUUUAGUUGGCUUUAUCCCUUACAAUUCAAAUAUGAUUUUGGUUCUGUUCCAGGUCCCUCUUCGCCCACUUCGGUCUCUGGUCCACUUUCUCCCAUGGCACUGUCGGGUCCUGUUGUGGCACUGUCGGGUCCUGUUGUGGCACAGACGGUCCCUCCUAUUUCUAUCACCUCCAAUCUGAUCAGUUCUCAUCCCAUGCUCACACGUGCUAAGGCUGGAAUUUUAAGAGUCGCCACCCCGCAAUCUUGGUGUCUUCAGCUCCACUGGCCUUCUUUCGACAUUUCUUGCCUCUGCUAAGCUUAAGGGCUUCAAAUCUACUGCUAAGAAUCUUGCCUGGCUUGCCACCAUGAAUGAAGAAGUUCGAGAUCUGUAGCAUAACCGCACCUGGGUUUUGGUCCCUUGCCCUGCCAACACCAACAUUGGGGGCUCCAAAUGGAUGUUUUGAACCAAAUAUUUUUCUGAUGGCUCUAUCGAGAGACUCAAGACUCGUCUUGUUGCCAAGGGUUACACUGAGAUCCCUGGUCUUGACUAUACUGAUACUUUUAGCCUUAUUAUUAAGGCUAUUAUUGUUUUUGUUGUCCUUUCUCUGACCAACCAGUGGCCCCUUGACCAAUCCAACAUCAAAAAUGCUUUUCUCAAUAGCAUUUUUAGUGAAAAUAUCUAUAUGGGGCAAUCUCCUAGCUACAUUGAUCAUCGUUUCCUUAAUUAUGUUUGCCAAUUGAAGUAAGCUACAUGGUUUCAAGCAGGCUCCUUGUGCCUCGUGCCUAGUUUCAGCAUUGCCGUUCUUUUCUUCUUCAACUUGGGUUUACUUGUGGCCAUGCUGACACAUCUCUAUUUGUUUUUCAUAAGCACUCUGCAAUUAUUUAUUUACUUUUUAUGUUGAUGGUAUUAUUAUUACUGAGAACGACUUAUCUCUUCUUAAUAGUUUUACUCAUAAACUCCACUAUGAGUUUGCUACCAAAAA